ensembl:misc_RNA
CUUCAUAUGGGUGCACCUGGUGGUUUGCCCAGAGUCCAGGUUGUAUCAUGUGCCUCUUGGUGUAGACGCUGUAUCUUUUUUUUUUUUU